AAACCAUGAUGAGGACACUGAUUGAUGUAGCUCUUAAAUCUUUCCCAUGCUUCCCCAAAGGUUUCAUUGUUGUGUUGGGUAAAGCUUGAGAUCUGAUUCCUCAGCUU
rfam:Eutrema salsugineum unplaced genomic scaffold scaffold_12, whole genome shotgun sequence.